rnacentral:lncRNA from 1 species
CUGUUUCUAGCGGCUGUUAGGCACCAACCAUAUUCGUGGCCACUUAUAAAUAGGUAAAAACAAAAUUAUACUUAACAAUUAACAAUUCAUAAGUGUGGAUAAUAUUUUUUAAAGUUUAACUGCUAACAUGUUUGUUUCGGUUUCAAAUAGGCCACGUCUCCGGGAAUUGGUGCGAGCCAAACCUUAAUCAUUUACCACCAAAUGAUAAAGGCGUACGCCGAAGAUAAAGUAAUAUAUAUUUAUAUGGUUUAAGCAACGUCGAUUUAACUUAUCAACUUGCAGUAUGUGAUGUGACUUGACUCAUUAUGUUAUAUUGUGUAGUUCUUA